GCCGCGUUUUCAUCGCCCCGAAACGUUUUUUCUUUCUCUCCUCACCCGGCCAGACUCGCAUGCCGCCAGCCGCCUCCACCUUCCCUUCUCCUGCGGGCGCCGCCUCCUCGGCUCCUCCCCUCGCGGCCCGCCUCUGCGGCCUCAGCCCGCCUCGCCCGCCCCCACGCCCCCUCCUGCUUCCCUUUCCUUGCGGGCGCCGCCGCCUCCUCCCCCCGCGGCCCGCCUCUGCCCCGCCUCUGCCUUCCCGCUCAACUCCCGAUCUCCACCUGCUCUUCUCUGCAUCUUCGCCAUCGCGCACGCGCCCCCGCCCCCUGCCCCCCUCUCCACCUUCCACGACGGCAGCCCGCAGCCUCCUGCCCCCUGCAUCGCCUUCCAUGGCGGCCCGCCGUAUCCUCCUUGUGUUUGCCCUCGGGAGCAGCGGAAGGGAGCAGCCGGGCAGCGCUGCGCACGGGAGCAGCGAGCAGAAUCGGGAUUUGGUCAUAGACGGGAUUUGAGGAGAGGAAGAAGAGGGGAUUUGAGAAGGAGGAAGAAGAGUCGCCACAUUAGUGGAGUAUUAGUUAUCUUUUGUCGUAGUAUUUCUUGCUGCUUACCAACUGAACAUGGGUUUUCUCUUGUGUGCAACAACAGGCUGAGCAUGCAGGAGCAGAAACUGCUCGCUGACGACAUUUUCACAUUUUGGCAUAACCGUGAAGCUGAUGCAUCUUCUGGUGGUGAGCUCGUCUUUGGUGGCGUGGACUCGAAUCACUAUAAGGGAAACCACACCUAUGUCCCUGUGAGACGCAGAGGUUAAUGGCAAUUUAACAUGGGGGAUCUUUUGGUUGAUGGCCAGUCGACUGGUUUCUGUGCCAAAGGGUGUGCUGAUAUUGUGUACUCCGGGAAUUCCCUGCUGGCCGGACCAAUAUGUAUCUGUAUCUUGAAAUCAAGGAUCCAUUUAUUCUAUCAAUCUGGUGCUAUAUUUUCGUGAUCAUGGACACUUGACUCAGAUUAAUUAUUAGCAUCGAGAUAAUGCUAGAUAGUGUUUGGAGAAAGGCCUGCAAGUAUUUUUUUUAAGGAAAAUGCUCGCAAAUGUUGAUAACAUUACAACUAAUGCCAAUAUUCCAUGAUAAUAAUCGUAUCUUUGUGCUGUUUCCAGGCUAUAGUUGCUCAGGUGAACCAUGCAAUCGGUGCCGAGAGAUUAUCAACACAGAAUGUAAAGAAGAGGUGAGCCAGUACGGAGAGAUGACCCUUCACUUGUUAUUGGUACAGACAAAGCCACAGAAAGUGUGCAGUCUUUGAUGUAACGGAAUUGAAUCUGUUGUGGGUAAAAAAUAUGUCGGCUCGGUCGUUAUUUGCACAGCCUGUGAGAUGGCCAUUGUGUGGAUAGAGAACCAGCUUCGUGAAACAAAACGAAGGAGCUGAUACUGCAAUAUGUUAACCAGAACAGAACUUUAUUCCCGGAACACCUCGUCUAUCUCUGCGAUGUGGAGUACUUCCCAAGCUGAUGAACAGUGUGAAGUAGUUAUCCUUUUAACGGGGAGUGGAUCUGGAAGCUUGAGAGUUGAGACUGAAAAUAGUCCAUGGCAACAAAUGUUGAGCCCAGUUUAAGGGGACAGUGGUGAUGGAAAAAAGAGAGAAGGAGAUUUCAUUUCUGGUAAGGGAUCAUGAAAAUUUAAUUUCCUUUCUAUGCUCAAUGUACGAAAGUAGGUAAUGGCCAGAACACUGUGUUGUAGGAAGAUAUCUGGAUUGGUGUCAAAUUAAUCUUUGGUUGUCU